CCUACGGGUGGCAGCAGUGGGGGAUAUUGCACAAUGGGGGGAACCCUGAUGCAGCGACGCCGCGUGGGGGAAGGAGUAUUUCGGUAUGUAAAGCUCUAUCGGCAGGGAAGAAUUUAGACGGUACCUGACUAAGAAGCGCCGGCUAACUACGUGCCAGCAGCGGCGGUACAACGUAGGGGGCAAGCGUUAUCCGGAUGCACUGGGUGUAAAGGGCGCGUAGAGGGGAAGGCACGCCUGAAGGGAAAGCCCGGGGCACAACCCCGGGCCUGCGCUUGGAACGGUCCGGCUUGAGUGCUGGAGGGGCAGACGGAAUUCCUGGUGUAGCGGUGAAAUGCGUAGAGAUCAGGAGGAACACCGGCGGCGAAGGCGGCCUGCUGGACCGCGACUGACGUUGAGGCGCGAAAGCGUGGGGAGCGAACAGGAUUAGAUACCCCAGUAGUC
rnacentral:rRNA from 1 species